rnacentral:sRNA from 1 species
UGUCAUCCUCACCUACCAUGACAUCGGCAUGAACCACAAAACCUGCUACAACCCCCUCUUCAACUACGAGGACAUGCAGGAGAUCACCCAGCACUUUGCCGUCUGCCACGUGGACGCCCCUGGCCAGCAGGACGGCGCAGCCUCCUUCCCCGCAGGGUACAUGUACCCCUCCAUGGAUCAGCUGGCUGAAAUGCUUCCUGGAGUCCUUCAAGAGUUUGGGUAAGAGCGAAGGAUCAGCUCCUCCUCUGUUUGCAGAGAAGCCUGGUUUCUAGCAUCCUCUUGCCCCUUGGCUUUGAUCUGGACUGACCACUAAAAUUAAGGUUGCAGUUUAAAGAUGAGGCAAGAAAUUAGCUCGUCACUCUGUGAACACUGUUCCUCACACAGUCUCUGA